UACGUAGGGGGCAAGCGUUAAUCGGAAUUACUGGGCGUAAAGCGUGCGCAGGCGGCUUUGCAAGACAGAUGUGAAAUCCCCGGGCUUAACCUGGGAACUGCAUUUGUGACUGCAUGGCUGGAGUGCGGCAGAGGGGGAUGGAAUUCCGCGUGUAGCAGUGAAAUGCGUAGAUAUGCGGAGGAACACCGAUGGCGAAGGCAAUCCCCUGGGCCUGCACUGACGCUCAGGCACGAAAGCGUGGGGAGCAAACAGG
rnacentral:rRNA from 1 species